GAUGAACGCUGGCGGCGUGCCUAAUACAUGCAAGUCGAGCGAACGGACGAGAAGCUUGCUUCUCUGAUGUUAGCGGCGGACGGGUGAGUAACACGUGGAUAACCUACCUAUAAGACUGGGAUAACUUCGGGAAACCGGAGCUAAUACCGGAUAAUAUUUUGAACCGCAUGGUUCAAAAGUGAAAGACGGUCUUGCUGUCACUUAUAGAUGGAUCCGCGCUGCAUUAGCUAGUUGGUAAGGUAACGGCUUACCAAGGCAACGAUGCAUAGCCGACCUGAGAGGGUGAUCGGCCACACUGGAACUGAGACACGGUCCAGACUCCUACGGGAGGCAGCAGUAGGGAAUCUUCCGCAAUGGGCGAAAGCCUGACGGAGCAACGCCGCGUGAGUGAUGAAGGUCUUCGGAUCGUAAAACUCUGUUAUUAGGGAAGAACAUAUGUGUAAGUAACUGUGCACAUCUUGACGGUACCUAAUCAGAAAGCCACGGCUAACUACGUGCCAGCAGCCGCGGUAAUACGUAGGUGGCAAGCGUUAUCCGGAAUUAUUGGGCGUAAAGCGCGCGUAGGCGGUUUUUUAAGUCUGAUGUGAAAGCCCACGGCUCAACCGUGGAGGGUCAUUGGAAACUGGAAAACUUGAGUGCAGAAGAGGGAAGUGGAAUUCCAUGUGUAGCGGUGAAAUGCGCAGAGAUAUGGAGGAACACCAGUGGCGAAGGCGACUUUCUGGUCUGUAACUGACGCUGAUGUGCGAAAGCGUGGGGAUCAAACAGGAUUAGAUACCCUGGUAGUCCACGCCGUAAACGAUGAGUGCUAAGUGUUAGGGGGUUUCCGCCCCUUAGUGCUGCAGCUAACGCAUUAAGCACUCCGCCUGGGGAGUACGACCGCAAGGUUGAAACUCAAAGGAAUUGACGGGGACCCGCACAAGCGGUGGAGCAUGUGGUUUAAUUCGAAGCAACGCGAAGAACCUUACCAAAUCUUGACAUCCUUUGACAACUCUAGAGAUAGAGCCUUCCCCUUCGGGGGACAAAGUGACAGGUGGUGCAUGGUUGUCGUCAGCUCGUGUCGUGAGAUGUUGGGUUAAGUCCCGCAACGAGCGCAACCCUUAAGCUUAGUUGCCAUCAUUAAGUUGGGCACUCUAAGUUGACUGCCGGUGACAAACCGGAGGAAGGUGGGGAUGACGUCAAAUCAUCAUGCCCCUUAUGAUUUGGGCUACACACGUGCUACAAUGGACAAUACAAAGGGCAGCGAAACCGCGAGGUCAAGCAAAUCCCAUAAAGUUGUUCUCAGUUCGGAUUGUAGUCUGCAACUCGACUACGUGAAGCUGGAAUCGCUAGUAAUCGUAGAUCAGCAUGCUACGGUGAAUACGUUCCCGGGUCU
rnacentral:rRNA from 1 species